rnacentral:rRNA from 1 species
CGGGUGAGUAACACGUGGAUAACCUACCUAUAAGACUGGGAUAACUUCGGGAAACCGGAGCUAAUACCGGAUAAUAUUUUGAACCGCAUGGUUCAAAAGUGAAAGACGGUCUUGCUGUCACUUAUAGAUGGAUCCGCGCUGCAUUAGCUAGCUGGUAAGGUAACGGCUUACCAAGGCAACGAUGCAUAGCCGACCUGAGAGGGUGAUCGGCCACACUGGAACUGAGACACGGUCCAG